rfam:Danio rerio chromosome 4, GRCz11 reference primary assembly.
GCCUCGUUGGCGCAGUAUGCAGCGCGUCAGUCUCAUAAUGUCAAGGUCGUGAGUUCGAGCCUCACAUGGAGCA